UCAAGAUAUGAUCAAAUCAUUUUCACCAAUUUUUGAACUUCAACAAGCCAUAACUCUCAAACCAUAAGGCCAAAUUUGGUGGGGUUUUUUCCUACAAACCACAUUUUUCAUCCUCUUUCCAAAAAUAUAAAUUUCAUGACCUAAAACCCUACCAUUCAAAAUGGCAUUUUUGGACCAAUUCCUUCAAAAUUCAAAGUUUGACCAAACUUUGACUUUUUGAUUUAUGGACUUUUUCACCAUUUUGCCAAUUGGGAAAUGUUCCAUAUAUCAUUUAUGAUUUGUUCCAAGCCUAAAACCAUCAUCAUACCACCAUUUUCCCAUCAUUUUGAAUCAAAUUGCAAAAUUGACAAAAUUGGCAAUUGGCUUCACAAAAGCAAAUAUAGUACAGCAUUUUCUGUACAACCACAAGCAGCAUUGUGUUUGGCCUGCUAGCAGCCUUUCCAGCCCAUUUGUGCAGACAAACACACCCACCAUUUUCACUUGUUCCACAAUUAGCAAUUUGCAAAAUGACCAUUACACACAAAACCAAUUUACCACAUGAUUAAAUGAUGAUUAACAGAUGAUAUUUAAGCCUUCAUUUUCUGUUUCCAACCCUAGUUCUAAGCAGCCACCAACCAGAAAAGCUCACUCUCUCAUUUUUGCAUUUGUGGCCUUUGGCAAUUUUUGCUCGAAAUCUCCAAACCACUUGAACAUUCCUUCAUGUUUCCAUCAUCUAACCACCAUUAAGAGUCAUUCCUGAUCAUAAGAUACUGACUGGAAUAGCAUUGCAAGGUCUGCAUUUUCAUGAGUCCAACAAUGGUAGUUUUCGGUUCUGGGAUUUCUAAGAGUUGCUGAGCUUCAAGCUACCCUCCAACCAUCAUUCCAAACUAAGGGCUUCAUCUGUUUGAGCUUGUAACCAUCAAAGCAGCUCUGCUCCACAUUUUCUUCCAAAACAAGUGCUUUAGUUGCUUAAGUUCUUUGAACUUGCUUGCUUGCUUUGCUUUUUAGCAUUUGCUUUGAGACAUGGAAAGACCGAAAAGGCAUACAAAGAAGUACAGCUUUAAGCAGCCUGAUGUAAAAGAGUUAAGGAAUCUGACAUCAUAUGUAUUAGAUCCCUUGGGUUUCAAGGCUCGAUAUGGGAAGCUUCUGCCGUUGCUGACUACUCAAGUGGAUGAGGGAUUGAUGAGCACUCUUGCUCAGUUCUAUGAUCCGCUCUAUCAUUGCUUCUUAUUUCCGGACUUCCAGUUGUUGCCAACUUUGGAAGAAUACUCUCACCUUAUUGGGAUUCCUAUUCUGGAUCAAGUGCCGUUCAGUGGCUUAGAGAGUAUUCCAUCUGCUCGAGAGAUUUCCAGCUUGUUGCACAUAGAUGAAGAUCUGAUUAGAGCUAAUCUGACUACCAAAGGCGGAAUUCAGGGUUUUCCUUCCGAGUUCCUCAUUGCUCAAGCCACUUUCUAUGGGAAGGCCAUGAGUGAGGAUGCCUUUGAGGCUCUGUUCGUUUUGCUUAUCUAUGGAUUGGUGCUGUUUCCCAACUUUGACAAGUUCGUCGAUAUGAAUGCCAUUAGGAUCUUUUCAGUUCUUAAUCCGGUUCCGACCUUGUUGGGUGAUGCAUAUGUUUCCUUGCAUCUGAGGAAUAUGAAGAAUGGAGGAGUCAUUGUCUGCUGUUUACCCCUGCUGUACAAGUGGUUUAUUUCGCACUUGCCGCAGACAGUUGCUUUCAAGGAGAACAAGGGAUGUCUACGGUGGUCUCAGAGACUCAUGUCUCUCACCAAUGAUGAUAUCACCUGGUAUGAUCGCGUGUACGAUA